rnacentral:lncRNA from 1 species
CCUAUUGUCUCCCUGGGCACCAAUCCACAGCCACAGGCAGGCUUAGAGAGGGAGAGACAAAGGAGGGAAUGGGAAAGCACAAAGGGAGCGGGAAUGAAAUGCAUGUUCGUGUGUGUUUUCCGACGGACUGAGCAUUCCAGACCAGCUGCCUCUGAUGCAUGGGAAGGUCCAUUGGCUGAUGCAUGCAGGGUGUGGGCACAGAGGAGCACACCAUCUUCCAGAGUGAAAACAAUCCUGUGGGCCAGUCGCGGUGGUUCACGCCUGUAAUCCCAGCACUUUGGGGGGCUGACGCGGGCGGAUCACCUGAGGUCGAGAGUUCCAGACUAGUCUGACCAACAUGGAGAAACCUCAUCUUUACAAAAAAUACAAAAUUAGCUGGGCAUGGUGGUGCAUGCCUGUAAUCCCAGCUACUUGGGAGGCUGAGGCAGGAGAAUCGCUUGAACCCUGGAGGUGGAGGUUGCAGUAAGCCGAGAUUGCACCACUGCACUUCAGCCUUGGCAACAAGAACAAAACUCUGUAUCAAAAAAAAAGAAAGAAAGAAAAAUCAUGUGAAAUCCAGGCAGCCAGUGCCACACAAUGGCUCAGAGUUCCUGUGGAAGUUUAACACAGGGGAAAUUAAAUUACUGCAAAGAUGGUCUAGGAUGGGGAGGGGGGUGUUUACUCAGAGAAUGUGAGGGAAAUCCCAAGGCCUCUGGUCUCAUUAAGGCUUAGUCCAUUCUGGCUGCUAUACCAAAAUAUUAUGGACUAGGUGGCUUAUAAACAACAAAAAUUUAUUUCUCACAAUUCUGAAGGCUGGGAAGUCCAAGAUCAAGUUUCUGGCAGAUUCAGUGUCUGGUGAGCCACCGCUUCCUGGUUCAUAGACAACUGUCUUUUUGCUAUAACCUCACAUAGCAGAGUGGGGUGACAGACCUUUCUGAGGCUUCUUUUAUAAAGGCACUAAUUCCAUUCAUGAGGGCUCCACCUUCAUGACCUAAUCACCUCCCAAAGACCCCACCUCCUAAUAGGAUAAACUUGGGGGCUAAGAUUUCAACAGUGGCCGGGUACACAGUGGAACACACCUAUAAUCCUAGCCACUCGAGAGGCUGAGGUGGGAGGAUUGUUUGAGGCUACAGUGCACAAUGAUCCUGCCUGUGAAUGGCCACUGCACUCCAGCCUGGGCAACAUAACAAGACCCCAUGUCUAAAAAAAGAAAAAAAAAAGUAAUGAAGUUUGAGGGAACACAAAUAUUUAGACCUUGGUAGGAGAUGAGGAGUGGGUGACCAGGAAAGAAAAAGCCUUUUGAGUUGUGGAAGGCAGAGACGGGAUUUCAGUUUGUGCGGGUGAAUGUGCAAAGCACAUGUAAAGUAACCAUAAGCUUGAGCUCUGAUUUUAGAAUUAAUAAUACAGUAUGUUUUGGUUUUGCCAUAGACUCUAAUUAGACCUCUAGAGCUAGUUCUAGCUUCGUUGCACCCUCCUUCCCUUUUGAUAUGGUUUGAAUCUGUGUCCCCACCCAAAUCUCAUGAUCAAUUGUAAUCCCCAAUGUUGAAGGUGGGGCCUGGUGGGAAGUGAUUGGAUCAUGGGGGUGGAUCCUUCCUAAAUGGUUUAGCACCCUCCCUUUUUGGUCCUGUUCUUGUGACAGAGUUCUCAUGAGACCUGGAUGUCUCGCUCUUCCUCCUGUGAAGGAGCCUGCUUCCAGCCAUGUGAAGAUGCCUGCUGCAGCCUUGCCUUCUGCCAUGAAUAAAAGCUCCCUGAGGCCUCCCUAGAAGAAGAUGCUGCCAUGCUUCCUGUACAGUCUGCAGAACCGUGAGUCGAUUUAAUCUCUUUUCUUUAUGAAUUACCCACUUGCAGGCACUUCUCUGCAGCAGUGUAAAAAAAGACUAAUACCCCACUCCCUGACCACAUAUCCUCCCCUCACCCAACGCACAGCUGGAAUCAGGUGUGUUGUCAGCCUCCCCUGUAAAGGUUCAUUUCCAGCUGGUGUGCAGGGGGUUCACAGAGACUGACAUCUGAAUGAUGCACCUGGAAUGAGCAGUGAUGGGGCCCGGUUCAUUUCUGCUUCUCAAAUUGAUGCCCCAUCAGUGAGGCACAAAAGUCAUCCCCACUCCCUUCCACCAGUUCCAGACUGUACUGUCUAGAUGACUCAUUGCCUACGUAGUGGCUCUGCCUGCUACCUUCGCGGGAGAAAUGUAAUGGUAGCCUACCUUCACUCUUAGGAGAUACUAAUUUAGGGUAUGAUGGUGGACUAGGUGUUCAAUACCAAGGGCUAUUCUUCUUCUAGGUAAGAAAUUUUGAAUUUUGAGUCAAAACUGUCCUUUUCUUUAAAAUUCUGUUGAAAACUCAGGCAUUCUAGGAUUAAUUCCCUGAUUAAACUGGCCAAGACAUGAUCAUUGAACACUGCCCUAUUCUUGGGACUCAUUGCUUACUUUUAUCUUUGCCAUAUUUAUCUUUACUCUCAGGUUUUUGUUUCCUGUCCCCAUUCCUGGUCUGAAUUUUCUCCAUAAGUGAUCCUGCUGCUUUCAUUAGGCAUUGAGCUAUGUGAUGAAAGAGGCCUUGUCUAGUCCUGCCUCAGGAACAAAACCAAGUUAAAAAAUAAUUUUAAACAGCCAUUGUAUGCAAGACACAGUCCUAAGAUGAGGACUGGAAGAUGAGCAAAGGAUACAAUAAUUGGAGGCCACUCCUGUUCUCAAGGAGUUUAGAGCUAGUUGGAGAGACAGACAUAGGUGUAAUGUGAACUAAUAUUAUGUGACGUCAACUUACUAACUCAAGAUGGCAAUAAAAUAGAAGUGAGAAUUCCACUACAUACCUAUUAGAAUGGUCAAAAUCCAGAAUGUUUACAUCACCAAAUGCUGAUGAGGAUGUGGAGCAAUUGGAACUCUCAUUCAUUGCUGGCGAGAAUGCGAAAUUGUAUAGCCCCUUUGGAAGACAGUUUGGCGAUUUCUUACAAAACUAAGCACACUCUUCCCAAAUGAUCCAGAAACUGCAGUCCUUUGUAUUAAUUCAAAGGAGUUGAAAAUCGAUGACCAUACAAAAACCUGCACAUGGAUAUUUAUAGCAGUUUUUUUCAUAAUUGCCAAAACUUGAAUGCAACCAAGAUCUCCUUCGGUAGGUGAAUGGUUCAAUAAACUGUGGUACAUUCAAACAAUGGAAUAUUAUUUAGCACUAAUAGGAUAUGAACUAUCAAGCCAUGAAAAGGAAAACUUAAAUGCAUAUUACUAAAUUUAAAAAAAUGAAGGAAAGUUGAAUGCAAUUACUAAGUUUAAAAAAAAGCCAAUCAUAAAAGACUACAUACUCUAUGGUUCCAACAAUAUGACAUUCUGGAAAAGGCAAAACUAUGAAGAGGGAUGAAUAGGCAGAACACAGAGGAUCUUUGAGGUGGUGAAACAAUUCUGCAUGACACCGUAAUGGUGGAUACGAUACAUGUAACUAUACGUUUGUCCAAACCCAUAGAAUCUACAAUUCCAAGAGUGAACUCUAAUGCUAACUACAGUCUUCGGGUGAUAAUAAUGUGUUGAUACAGGCUCACAAUUGUAGCAAAUGUACCAUUCUGGUGUAGGAUGCUAAUAAUGGGGGAGGCUGUGAUGUGUGGAGGCAGGGGUCUUCUGGGAACUCUCUAUACCUUCUGCUCAGUUUUGCUGUGAAUCUAAAGCUGCUCUAAAAAAAUAAAAUCUAUUUUUUUAAGUGAGAAGGAAGCAUAUGAAUGUUCAGAGAAGAUAAAGUCUACGUAGGCAAUAAAGGAGACAAUGGAAAAGGGGUCUUGAAGUACAGGUGGAAUUGGCCAGGCAAGAAGGAUAAAGAAGACUAUUAUAGCCCUGGAAAAGAGUAUAAACAAAGACAGUCAGUUAUGCUCUAAGUCUUGGUUUUGAAAACAUGAAUUUGUUUCAACCCGAUUCAUGUAUUGGGGAGCAAUCUGAGUGCAAUACAGAUUUUGCAUUUGCUUGUGCAUGAUUUUUCCUUGAGAAACACCAGGUGAAUGGAGAAAACUCUACUCAGCUGAACCAAACAGGGCAGAAGUACACAAAAUGUACACAAGGACACCUCUCAAAUUUCUACCACCUAACCGAGUUUACAGGGUGUGUUAGAAACCCUCUUUCCACCACUUCAUAGGAACUCAUAAACUGCACCCCUUUCAACAACCAACUCCAUAUACAAAAUUAAUGUCCGUUUCAGGAUACUGUGCCAUAUUUAUUGUAGCAUGUAUCUAUUUCUUAACCAUUUAAUGUGUGAACUGUGCUACAAUUUUAUUAGAUUCCUAUCUUUUUUGUUGUUACAUUGACAAAACUUCUGAAUGUUGUAAUCUCUAACUAUUUUUCCCAUUAGCCCUAUAAUUCUUUUUUGUUUG